UACGAAGGGGGCUAGCGUUGUUCGGAAUUACUGGGCGUAAAGCGUGCGCAGGCGGCUAUCCAAGUCAGUGGUGAAAGCCCGGAGCUCAACUCCGGAACUGCCAUUGAAACUGGUUGGCUCGAGUACGAGAGAGGUGAGUGGAAUUCCCAGUGUAGAGGUGAAAUUCGUAGAUAUUGGGAAGAACACCGGUGGCGAAGGCGGCUCACUGGCUCGUAACUGACGCUCAUGCACGACAGCGUGGGGAUCAAACAGG
rnacentral:rRNA from 1 species